GACGAACGCUGGCGGCGUGCUUAACACAUGCAAGUCGAACGGAAAGGCCCUGCUUUUGUGGGGUGCUCGAGUGGCGAACGGGUGAGUAACACGUGAGUAACCUGCCCUUGACUUUGGGAUAACUUCAGGAAACUGGGGCUAAUACCGGAUAGGAGCUCCUGCUGCAUGGUGGGGGUUGGAAAGUUUCGGCGGUUGGGGAUGGACUCGCGGCUUAUCAGCUUGUUGGUGGGGUAGUGGCUUACCAAGGCUUUGACGGGUAGCCGGCCUGAGAGGGUGACCGGCGACAUUGGGACUGAGAUACGGCCCAGACUCCUACGGGAGGCAGCAGUGGGGAAUAUUGAACAAUGGGCGGCAGGCUGAUGCAGCAACGCCGCGUGCGGGAUGACGGCCUUCGGGUUGUAAAACGCUUUCGCCUGUGACGAAGCGUGAGUGACGGUAAUGGGUAAAGAAGCAACGGCUAACUACGUG
rnacentral:rRNA from 1 species